rnacentral:rRNA from 1 species
UACGUAGGGGGGCUAGCGUUGUCCGGAAUCAUUGGGCGUAAAGAGCGCGUAGGCGGCCAGAUAAGUCCGGUGUGAAAGUCAAAGGCUCAACCUUUGAAUGCCGCUGGAAACUGUCUGGCUAGAGUCCGGGAGGGGCGAGUGGAAUUCCUGGUGUAGCGGUGAAAUGCGCAGAUAUCAGGAGGAACACCAAUGGCGAAGGCAGCUCGCUGGAACGGUACUGACGCUGAGGCGCGAAAGCGUGGGGAGCAAAACAGG